UACGUAGGGGGGCAAGCGUUGUCCGGAUUUAUCUGGGCGUAAAGAGCGUGUAGGCGGCCAAGCAGUCGUUGAGAAACUGGAGGCUUAACCUCCAGACGUCGACGGAAACCGCGUGCUAGAGUCCGGAAGAGGAGAGUGGAAUUCCUGGUGUAGCGGUGAAAUGCGCAGAUAUCAGGAAGAACACCAAUGGCGAAGGCAGCUCUCUGGGACGGUACUGACGCUGAGACGCGAAAGCGUGGGGAGCGAACAGG
rnacentral:rRNA from 1 species